rnacentral:tRNA from 1 species
UUAAAGAUAAGCUAAAUUAAGCUAUUGGGUUCAUACCCCACUUAUAAAAGUUCUACUCUUUUUCUUUAUA